UACAGAGGUCUCAAGCGUUGUUCGGAUUCAUUGGGCGUAAAGGGUGCGUAGGCGCGCCGUAAGUCGGAUGUGAAAUCUCAGGGCUCAACCCUGAAACUGCAUUCGAUACUGCGGUGCUCGAGGACUCGAGAGGAGAUUGGAAUUCACGGUGUAGCAGUGAAAUGCGUAGAUAUCGUGAGGAAGACCAGUGGCGAAGGCGGAUCUCUGGAGAGUUCCUGACGCUGAGGCACGAAGGCCAGGGGAGCAAACGGG
rnacentral:rRNA from 1 species